rnacentral:misc_RNA from 1 species
UUUCCGUAGGUGAACCUGCGGAAGGAUCAUUAAAUUUCUUGGGCGUGCCCAUGUCGGGGGUCGUGUGUCAUAACGUUUAAUCGUAUAGACGUGCGCCCUGGCUGCAUCCUUGUCUAUUGCGUACUAUUUGUUUCCUCGGCGGGCUUGCCUGCCGGUUGGACAUUAUCAAACCUUUUUGUAGUUGCAAUCAGCGUCAGAAACAAAACAAUAAUUACAACUUUCAACAACGGAUCUCUUGGUUCUGGCAUCGAUGAAGAACGCAGC